rnacentral:rRNA from 1 species
GCUAGGGGUGAAAGGCCAAUCAAACUCGGAAAUAGCUGGUUCUCCGCGAAAACUAUUUAGGUAGUGCGGCAAGCGAAUACCUUGAGGGGUAGAGCACUGGAAGAAUGAGGGGGGAGCGAUCCUUACUAAAUUUUACCAAACUCCGAAUACUCAAGAGUAAUACUUGCCAGACAGACAGUAGGUGCUAAGGUCUAUUGUCGAGAGGGAAAGAGCCCAGACCGUCAAUUAAGGUCCCUAAAUUAUGGCUAAGUGGUAAAGGAAGUGAAUUGUCCAAAACAGUCAGGAGGUUGGCUUAGAAGCAGCCAUCCUUUAAAGAAAGCGUAAUAGCUCACUGAUCUAAUUAAGACGAUUUGCGCCGAAGAUGUAACGGGGCUAAAGCCAUAUACCGAAAUUACGGGUUUGUACUAAGUACAAGCGGUAGCGGAGCGUUCUGUAAGCCUGCGAAGGUGUUCCGUAAGGAAUGCUGGAGGUAUCAGAAGUGAGAAUGCUGACAUGAGUAGCGAAAAGAAGUGUGAGAGACACUUCCGCUGAAAGUCCAAGGUUUCCUGCGUAAAGCUAAUCUGCGCAGGGUUAGUCGGCCCCUAAGGUGAGGCUGAGAAGCGUAGCUGAUGGGAAGCAGGUUAAUAUUCCUGCACCAGCUAGGAGGUGACGGAUUUCAAAGAUUGUAACUGAUUAUUGGAUUUCGGUUGCAGUUCAGAAGUUCCAGGAAAGAGCCCUAGCAUAGACCGUACCCCAAACCGACACAGGUGGACAGGUAGAGAAUACCAAAGCGCUUGAGAGAACUAUGUUGAAGGAACUAGGCAAAAUGCUUGUGUAACUUCGGGAUAAGCAAGCCCCAUUUUUAGGCAACUAAAGGUGGGGGGCACAUACUAGGGGGUAGCGACUGUUUACUAAAAACACAGGGCUCUGCUAAAUUGAAAGAUGAAGUAUAGGGUCUGACGCCUGCCCGGUGCUGGAAGGUUAAGGAGAGAUGUUCACGCAUUGAACUGAAGCCCCAGUAAACGGCGGCCGUAACUAUAACGGUCCUAAGGUAGCGAAAUUCCUUGUCGGGU